UUGGAGGGCAAGUCUGGUGCCAGCAGCCGCGGUAAUUCCAGCUCCAAUAGCGUAUAUUAAAGUUGUUGCAGUUAAAAAGCUCGUAGUUGAAUUUCGGGAUCAAUACGUCGGUCGUGCUUUCGGGUACGUACUGGCGUCAUUGGUUUCUCCUUUCUGACGAACCAUGAUGUCAUUAAUUUGGUGUUAUGGGGAGUUAGGACUGUUACUUUGAAAAAAUUAGAGUGUUUAAAGCAGGCAUUAGCUUGAAUACAUUAGCAUGGAAUAAUGAAAUAGGACGUUCGAUCCUAUUUUGUUGGUUUCUAGGAUCAACGUAAUGAUUAAUAGGGAUAGUUGGGGGCAUUAGUAUUCAAUUGUCAGAGGUGAAAUUCUUGGAUUUAUUGAAGACUAACUACUGCGAAAGCAUUUGCCAAGGAUGUUUUCAUUAAUCAAGAACGAAAGUUAGGGGAUCGAGGACGAUCAGAUACCGUCGUAGUCUUAACCAUAAACUAUGCCGACUAGGGAUCGGAUGAUGUUAAUUUUUUAAUGACUCAUUCGGCGCCUUACGGGAAAC
rnacentral:rRNA from 1 species